ensembl:lncRNA
CUUGACUCAGCUACCCUUAUAAAUGGCUCCUCAUGGUUUUCUCUUAAAAUUAAGGCCUUCCUUGCGAGACAAGAAUCUUCACCAUCUGAAUUAUGAGUAAGUUACAUUUUCCUGUAUUUCUAGUUUAUAAUUUAUUUUCAUAUUUGCUCUAUAUCUCUAUUUUAUAUAUAGUUAUACUGCUUGAAAAACGAUUUACUGUACUUCCUACUUCAUAAAAUCAUUAUAUUACCCUUCUACUGUCCUACAUAUCCUACUAUUCUGUAUUUUAUAGAGUUUUCUAUUAUUAUAAGAUAUUACCCUUAUAAUAUCUUAAUACUCCUUUUUAUUAUUCUUAUAAAGUUAUAAUGUUAUAUGUGUGUGUGUGUGUGUGUGUGUGUAUUAUGUCUACAUGCCCGCCCUUGACUGUACGAGAGAGUGUGUGUGUGUGUGUGUGUGUGUGUGUGUGUGUCUGUGUUAGCACUCCUCAGCUCUUAUACUUCUGUUUGACUCUUCGACUAUUAAACCAUAGUGUAGUACUCUUAAAGAUCUUUAAAGUGGAAAUCCAAUUUGUCAAUAUCUGCCUAAUACCGCUUCUGUAUGUCUAGGUGCCCAUCGUCAUUCCUUCUUCUCCCCUUUACUGGAUCUGGAUCUGGACACUCAUUAUCAGCUUGCGCAUCUAACUGCUGAUAUCAUGGUGCUACUUAACUAUCUUCGCAGCACCCCCUCUGGAAAUGGAAAUGCGGGGUCCGUCCGCCCCCCCGAUACAAAAUCUGCCCCGUGAACGUGUGUAUUGACGCCUCUACACAGCCAAAACCCCCCUCCAGCUUUCAAUCUGAGGAAGAUGUCACCUUCUCUGACCUGGUCCCCGACCAUUCUUCCCUCUUCUCACCUACCAGUCCGCCCCACUCUCAGUGGUCCUCUCACUUCACCUUUGCUGACUUUCCCAUGUCCCCAGGAUGCACACCAUUUUCUUCCCCCCACCACUCUCCUCAAGAUUACGCACCCACCAGUCCUGUGAAUUAUCAAUAAAACUACAUAUUACUCAUACUAAGUGUCCCUCAUGUUUAUUUCAUGUCAUUUUUAUCCACAACACAGCCCACUUGAAGUACAUCGACAAUGUCUUGAGAGUCCUUGAAUGGAUGAAAUCACUGUGCCAGCGGUACAAGGUCACUCCGGCCAAGUUAUUUCUGACGCGUGUUUCCAAGUUCCUCCAUUAACUCGAUGAGUAACUGUCCAAGGGCCGAGUUGGCUCCACGAGGCUGUGGAGUCUCCAGAGACUGCUGCAGUGGGAGUGCAGACAUCUGUCCGGUCGAGUCGUGCUCCACAGGCAAGGCGUGCGAGCGGAGAAGAGUGAGGGAGUACUUACAGCUCCUGCACGGCAAACUGUUGGACGCUGUCCCUGUUUCACUGGCUGAUCUGAACUCGUCCAGCAGACCCGGACAUGCUCAACCAGUUGCAUCGGGCUGCUGUGUGCUCACUUCUUUUCGGUCAGCGGACACAGGACCGGAGUCCUGCAGAACCUCACGACUGAGGAGUUUGAGAACCUCGAGAAGGCUGACUCUUUCUGAUCAAUGUGAAGCAGCACAAACCUGCCUCUGCUUUUGGACUCGCUAAGCUAGCCAUCACCAAGCUGGAGCUGAAGUGGCUGAAAGCUUUCUGCCGCCUGAGGAAGCAUAUGCCGGGAUAUGAGACUUCUGUGGGGUGGCUUUUCUUUUCUGGCACACAGGCCAGGAUUUCUGCGCAUGUCAAGCUUGCCCUGCGGGCACUCGUGGAGAAGGGACAUCACUGUGUCGGACAUCCGCACAGCUCUAGCAACCUAC